GGGGAAUUUUCCUGCAAUGGGCGAAANCCCUGACGGUNCAAUACCGCGUGAGGGAGGAAGGCUCUUGGGUUGUAAACCUCUUUUCUCAGGGAAUAAGAACUGAAGGUACCUGAGGAAUCAGCAUCGGCUAACUCCGUGCCAGCAGCCGCGGUAAUACGGAGGAUGCAAGCGUUAUCCGGAAUGAUUGGGCGUAAAGCGUCCGCAGGUGGUUUAUCAAGUCUGCUGUCAAAGAGUUUGGCUCAACCAAAUAAAGGCAGUGGAAACUGACAGACUGGAGUGCGGUAAGGGCAGAGGGAAUUCCUGGUGUAGCGGUGAAAUGCGUAGAGAUCAGGAAGAACACCGGUGGCGAAAGCGCUCUGCUGGGCCGUAACUGACACUGAGGGACGAAAGCUAGGGGAGCGAAUGGGAUUAGAUACCCCAGUAGUC
rnacentral:rRNA from 1 species